AUGACAUCUCAAAAAACCGCAGACGGCUACAAAACCCCAAACACACAAACACAGAGUCUGAACCUCGUCGAAGCGAAACGCUUUAGACAUCUAUCCGGGACCAAUAUUAGAGGAUUUGCGCACAAUUUCGGUGGAUUCAUGAUGUUUGAUUGAUUUGACAUCAGGCCACUCUGUCGCUCAGAGGUGUUCACAGUCCAGCAGCUGAGCUCUUUCACCGCUGUGCCAUGGAGUUUCCAGAUCUCGGGGAGCACUGCUCAGAGAAGAGCUGCAAACGUCUCGGUAUGUAGAGUAUAUUUUCUAUUGGCUCGGUCAGACUUCAGUUCAUAUUUUUAAUGUGCCCGGCAACAUUUUCAGUGGCCUCCAAAAAGAUUGUUUUAACAAUGUGUAAAAGUUUGGGGGUUUCAGAUUUAUUUUGUUAUUUGAUUUAGUUAUUUUUUUAACUUUUGAAAGAAAUUAAUAAAUUUAUUUGGGCAUAACAAAUACAACUUUUAAUUAUAGAAAUAUGAGCUAAAAUUUUGCAGACUCUACUCCAGACUUAGAGCGCACAGGAGUUAAUCUCACGAUGUGGAUUCAGUCGUGUCUCCGAAUCACUCCACGGCUGUGAUCAUCGUCAGCCAUAAAAAGCAGCUGACUGGCAUUUGGCAAGGGCACCAUGUGGCUUUUGCAGUCUGGCCAAUGAAAACAUCUCUCACUAGGAUGUCCCACUGCUUGCGUCACACUCUGAAGGCCCUGUGUGUCAGACAAAACUUUGUGGUCUAGUAUAGUAGCGAGGUAAAUGCAGUGUGGGAAUGCUAGCUCGUUACUUUGGUUUUAGAUGGUAUAAACAGUCAUUCUGCUUAGACAGCCCUGUCAAACUUAUGUCAAGCCACUCUCUCCAUCUCUUGUUUUUAUAUAUAUAUAUUUUUUAAAUAUUAUGGUUCUUCCUUCACUCUUACUCUCACUCUCAUAGUCUCAUUCUCAUUCACAAACCACCUAUAAAUAAGUGAAGCUAUCUAAGACGGAGGGUAGACUUUCUUCUUGUCACGCCUUGCAAUUUGUUGCUGGUGUCAAGUGUCAGGUGACAGUUUAUUAUAAAUAGCUUGUACAGGCAGGGUGGGAGUGAUAUACCAACCCAAAUUGAUGUUUUUGUUGUAUUUUGUUUGUUUUUCUGGUUUAUUUACUUGUUGCUACUUGGUUUGAGGCUGCACACCUGAAUGUAGUAUAUAAAUAAAUAAAUAUAGAAAUAAAUCAUUUAUAUUAUUUGCAAAUAAACAUUUUGGUCAAAACUGUAAUUUAAUUAAAUACAACGUCCAAGGGCUCUUAGAAAUUGUUUAUUAUUUACUAAAUUUAUGUUUUUGUUUUUUUGUAUGUUUUUGUUUUGUUUUGCUUUGCUUUAUUUUAUUGUUUGUUCACCUUCCAGCAAAAACAAGAAUUAAUAACAACCACAAUUCUUUCAAAAGCUAUAUUAUAGUAGCUGUCAAUAUCAUAAAUUAGAAGUGACAUUUGAAGUAUCUGAAGAGUAAAAAAGCUCUAUCACACACAUACAGAUCCACAUGUUGAACUUUUAUGACAGUAGAGUUAUAAUUAUGAGGGUGGGGAAAAGCUAAUGACAGGUUUUUUUCCUCAGUAUUUGUUGAUAUGUAUAUAGGCUGCUGUUCUGUUACCGUGUACUUUGUAAUGAAAUGCGUCUCUCUAAAUGGACAGGUGUUGAAGCCUCCCUGUUGUUUGUGGAUCCAGUAAUGAUGAUUUAUAGGAGUUGAUGCAUCGCGUUAUGUAAUUUUCUGCACCCACAGGCGAUUAAACGCUUUUCCAGUACUGCUUUUAGUCUUUUGAGAGAACAUGAGAAGGAAUUCUGUCCUUGAUUGUCGCACUUCCACUGUAAUUUCAAAUGCAAUUGGAUUAUUUUUCAGCCUAAUAGUGACAGAUAGAGAUAGGAUUCUUGAUA
rnacentral:lncRNA from 1 species